rnacentral:rRNA from 1 species
AUUGAACGCUGGCGGAAUGCUUUACACAUGCAAGUCGAACGGCAGCACGGGGCAACCUGGUGGCGAGUGGCGAACGGGUGAGUAAUACAUCGGAACGUGCCCAAUCGUGGGGGAUAACGUAGCGAAAGUUACGCUAAUACCGCAUACGAUCUACGGAUGAAAGCGGGGGAUCGCAAGACCUCGCGCGAGUGGAGCGGCCGAUGUCAGAUUAGGUAGUUGGUGGGGUAAAGGCUCACCAAGCCAACGAUCUGUAGCUGGUCUGAGAGGACGACCAGCCACACUGGAACUGAGACACGGUCCAGACUCCUACGGGAAGCAGCAGUGGGGAAUUUUGGACAAUGGGCGCAAGCCUGAUCCAGCCAUUCCGCGUGCAGGAUGAAGGCCUUCGGGUUGUAAACUGCUUUUGUACGGAACGAAACGGCGAGCUCUAAUACAGUUUGCUAAUGACGGUACCGUAAGAAUAAGCACCGGCUAACUACGUGCCAGCAGCCGAC